AAGUCGUAACAAGGUCUCCGUUGGUGAACCAGCGGAGGGAUCAUUACCG
rnacentral:rRNA from 3 species